rnacentral:rRNA from 1 species
AACGAACGCUGGCGGCAUGCCUAACACAUGCAAGUCGAACGAUGCCUUCGGGCAUAGUGGCGCACGGGUGCGUAACGCGUGGGAAUCUGCCUUUCGGUUCGGAAUAACUCAGGGAAACUUGAGCUAAUACCGGAUAACGUCGCAAGACCAAAGAUUUAUCACCGAAAGAUGAGCCCGCGUAGGAUUCGCUAGUUGGUGAGGUAAAGGCUCACCAAGGCGACGAUCCUUAGCUGGUCUGAGAGGAUGAUCAGCCACACUGGGACUGAGACACGGCCCAGACUCCUACGGGAGGCAGCAGUGGGGAAUAUUGGACAAUGGGCGAAAGCCUGAUACAGCAAUGCCGCGUGAGUGAUGAAGGCCUUAGGGUUGUAAAGCUCUUUUACCCGGGAAGAUAAUGACGGUACCGGGAGAAUAAGCCCCGGCUAACUCCGUG